rnacentral:rRNA from 1 species
CCUACGGGCGACAGCAGUGAGGAAUAUUGGUCAAUGGUCGGGAGACUGAACCAGCCAAGCCGCGUGAGGGAUGAAGGUACAGAGUAUCGUAAACCUCUUUUGUCAGGGAACAAAGGCGGGGACGUGUCCCCGGAUGAGUGUACCUGAAGAAAAAGCAUCGGCUAACUCCGUGCCAGCAGCCGCGGUAAUACGGAGGAUGCGAGCGUUAUCCGGAUUUAUUGGGUUAAAGGGGUGCGCAGGCGGUCUGUUAAGUCAGCGGUCAAAGCCCGGGGCUCAACCCCGGCCCGCCGUUGAAACUGGCAGGCUCGAGUUGGAGAGAAGUAUGCGGAAUGCGCGGUGUAGCGGUGAAAUGCAUAGAUAUCGCGCAGAACUCCGAUUGCGAAGGCAGCAUGCCGGCUCCACACUGACGCUGAGGCACGAAAGCGUGGGUAUCGAACAGGAUUAGAUACCCGAGUAGUC